rnacentral:rRNA from 1 species
AGAGUUUGAUCGAUGGCUCAGGAUGAACGCUAGCUACAGGCUUAACACAUGCAAGUCGAGGGGCAGCAGGACGAUAGCUUGCUAUUGUUGCUGGCGACCGGCGCGACGGGUGAGUAACGCGUAUCCAACCUUCCCCUUAGUAGAGGAUAGCCCGGCGAAAGUCGGAUUAAUACUCUAUGUUGUAUUUUGAGGACAUCUGACGAAUACCAAAGAUUUAUCGCUAAGGGAUGGGGAUGCGUCUGAUUAGCUUGUCGGCGGGGUAACGGCCCACCGAGGCGACGAUCAGUAGCCGGCCUGAGAGGGUGUACGGCCACAUUGGGACUGAGACACGGCCCAAACUCC